AAAUAAAUAAACUAUCUAAGAACAGCAAAGAAAAACGAUAAAGAAAAGACGAGAAAAAAAAUAAAGAAAAGACAAUAGAGUCUCCUCCCACACUUAAAUCGAACAUUGUCCCCAAUGUUUCGAAAUAAGAUAAGGGAAGAGUUACCUGACAACCUAUUGCUGACCACUGGUGCCCUCGCCAUCCUGAGUGGAUCCAUGGAGCAUGG
rnacentral:lncRNA from 1 species